GAGUUUGAUUAUGGCUCAGGACAAACGCUGGCGGCGUGCAUAACACAUGCAAGUCGAACGAAAUCUACAUGAUUUAGUGGCGAACGGGUGAGUAACACGUGAGAAACCUUCCUUACACAGAGGGAUAGCCGUUGGAAACGACGAUUAAUACCUCAUGACACCGUGACAUCGCAUGAUGAUGCGGUCAAAGAUUUAUCGGUGUAAGAUGGUCUCGCGCCUGAUUAGCUGGUUGGUGGGGUAACGGCCUACCAAGGCGACGAUCAGUAGCCGAUCUGAGAGGGUGGACGGCCACAUUGGGACUGAGACACGGCCCAAACUCCUACGGGAGGCAGCAGUGGGGAAUUUUGCACAAUGGGGGAAACCCUGAUGCAGCGACGCCGCGUGAACGAAGAAGGCCUUCGGGUUGUAAAGUUCUGUCCUUGGUGAAGAUAANGACANAACCAAGAAGAAGCCCCGG
rnacentral:rRNA from 1 species